GGGUUGUGAGGUUAAGCGACUAAGCGUACACGGUGGAUGCCCUGGCAGUCAGAGGCGAUGAAGGACGUGCUAAUCUGCGAUAAGCGUCGGUAAGGUGAUAUGAACCGUUAUAACCGGCGAUUUCCGAAUGGGGAAACCCAGUGUGAUUCGUCACACUAUCAUUAACUGAAUCCAUAGGUUAAUGAGGCGAACCGGGGGAACUGAAACAUCUAAGUACCCCGAGGAAAAGAAAUCAACCGAGAUUCCCCCAGUAGCGGCGAGCGAACGGGGAGCAGCCCAGAGCCUGAAUCAGUGUGUGUGUUAGUGGAAGCGUCUGGAAAGGCGCGCGAUACAGGGUGACAGCCCCGUACACAAAAAUGCACAUAUUGUGAGCUCGAUGAGUAGGGCGGGACACGUGGUAUCCUGUCUGAAUAUGGGGGGCCCAUCCUCCAAGGCUAAAUACUCCUGACUGACCGAUAGUGAACCAGUACCGUGAGGGAAAGGCGAAAAGAACCCCGGCGAGGGGAGUGAAAAAGAACCUGAAACCGUGUACGUACAAGCAGUGGGAGCACGCUUAGGCGUGUGACUGCGUACCUUUUGUAUAAUGGGUCAGCGACUUAUAUUCUGUAGCAAGGUUAACCGAAUAGGGGAGCCGAAGGGAAACCGAGUCUUAACUGGGCGUUAAGUUGCAGGGUAUAGACCCGAAACCCGGUGAUCUAGCCAUGGGCAGGUUGAAGGUUGGGUAACACUAACUGGAGGACCGAACCGACUAAUGUUGAAAAAUUAGCGGAUGACUUGUGGCUGGGGGUGAAAGGCCAAUCAAACCGGGAGAUAGCUGGUUCUCCCCGAAAGCUAUUUAGGUAGCGCCUCGUGAAUUCAUCUCCGGGGGUAGAGCACUGUUUCGGCAAGGGGGUCAUCCCGACUUACCAACCCGAUGCAAACUGCGAAUACCGGAGAAUGUUAUCACGGGAGACACACGGCGGGUGCUAACGUCCGUCGUGAAGAGGGAAACAACCCAGACCGCCAGCUAAGGUCCCAAAGUCAUGGUUAAGUGGGAAACGAUGUGGGAAGGCCCAGACAGCCAGGAUGUUGGCUUAGAAGCAGCCAUCAUUUAAAGAAAGCGUAAUAGCUCACUGGUCGAGUCGGCCUGCGCGGAAGAUGUAACGGGGCUAAACCAUGCACCGAAGCUGCGGCAGCGAUGCUUAUGCGUUGUUGGGUAG
rnacentral:rRNA from 1 species